ensembl:lncRNA
UCUAUACUGGAACUAACAUUCUUGUGGUUGGGGAAAAGUAUACAAAACUCAAUCCAUAUCAACUGAAAUCCCUUGUUUACUAAAAUUUGGAGUAGGGGCAGUCUGCUCACAGGGAGGAAUUACUUUAUAACUGGAGAAAGUAAGGCAUUAUCUCAUGAAAACAGAGAUCUUUUACUGCAUUUAUUACUUCACUGCAUUUAUUCAGUGAACAACGUAUUAGCAAGGUCUAAGAGGGGCAAUAAGGAGGAUCAAAGAGCAUGAAGUAACUGAUUCCACUUGGGAAGUUUGAGCAGUGAAAGGAAUGUGGGCACUGACUCUUCGAGAAAUUGACCAGACAGAAAAGGAAGGAAAACCCUUUCCAGGGAGAUGGUAUAACAUGUGUAGAGAGUGCCACUGUUUCUGAUGAAGGCAUUGGAGGCUGAAAUUUGAAAACAAAUAUUUUUCUGAAGAAGGGAUGCUGUUGUUGUUCAUUAACUGGCUUUUAGAUAAGCAUGUCAAGUUGCUGACUCCCUGACGGAUUCUGGGACAGAAGGAAGAAACAUCUGACUGACUUCCGUCAGAAGUUGGACAGGAUUUUAGCUUGUGCUCUGAGUGCUCAGACUUGCUGUGUGCCCUUCACACUGUUGGAAAGAAGGAAAAGGCCAUUCAGUGGAGAGCUGACAAAACUUCCAGGAGAAUCGGACUUCGGUGAUGCACUCGUCCAUUUCGUUUGACUACGGUACCCACAGCAGCUAGGACAGGAUCUGGCGCUUAAACUUCAACACUUUAUUUGAUGCUGAUGAAGUCAAUACCUCGAAGACCAAGAAACCACCUUCUGAAGCUUUUGAUAAAUCUCAGCUUGCCAACUUAAUUUUCUAAGUUUGGGAAGGGAAAUAGUGAGAAAAUGAA